UACGUAGGGGGCUAGCGUUGUCCGGAUUUAUUGGGCGUAAAGAGCGUGUAGGCGGCCAGGUAGGUCUGCUGUGAAAACUCGAGGCUCAACCUCGAGACGUCGGCGGAAACCAUCUGGCUAGAGUCCGGAAGAGGAGAGUGGAAUUCCCGGUGUAGCGGUGAAAUGCGCAGAUAUCGGGAAGAACACCCGUGGCGAAGGCGGUUCUCUGGGACGGUACUGACGCUGAGACGCGAAAGCGUGGGGAGCGAACAGG
rnacentral:rRNA from 1 species